rnacentral:misc_RNA from 1 species
GAUGAAGAACGUAGUGAAAUGCGAUAAGUAGUGUGAAUUGCAGAAUUCAGUGAAUCAUCGAAUCUUUGAACGCACAUUGCGCCCUUUGGUAUUCCAAAGGGCAUGCCUGUUCGAGCGUCAUUUGUACCCUCAAGCUUUGCUUGGUGUUGGGCGUCUUGUCUCUAGCUUUGCUGGAGACUCGCCUUAAAGUAAUUGGCAGCCGGCCUACUGGUUUCGGAGCGCAGCACAAGUCGCACUCUCUAUCAGCAAAGGUCUAGCAUCCAUUAAGCCUUUUUUUCAACUUUUGACCUCGGAUCAGGUAGGGAUAACCGCUGAACUUAAGCAUAUCAAUAAGCGGAGGA